AUGUUGUGUGAUUUCAUUAAAGCAGGUUUCCUGCACAUUUUUUUUUCUAGAUUACCUCCCUAGUGACCCUUCAGCUCUUAGCCCUGGUUGGCCAUGAUGAUCAGCUUGAUGGACCAAAGUACAAGUGUACAGUUUCACUAGACUUCAUCAGAGCUAUUGCAAGGACAGUGAACUUUGACAUAAUAAAAUACUUGUAUGAUUUCCUGUGAAAACAAGCUUCAAAGCCAUAUGGACACUGUGGCAGUGACUAAGCCAAGCUGUGUUCAUCCAGCGCCUUGGCUAGCCAGGGAGAGGAGUUCUUUGGCUCUACUGGAUUUGUCCAAACAGGUGCUGGCCCAGCAUGGAAUCUGAUGAAAAUAUUCUGAUUGGUCUGGAUGGAUGUGAGCAGAAGACUAUUUACCAGGGACCCUGGAGUAUUUGGAAGCAACGUGUUAAUUAUAAACAGCAGGGUUUGAGCACAAUCUGUUCUACUCUUAAUGAUGUUAUCUUAACACUGAAAUUGCCUGAAACCCAUUUACUUAGGGCUCCAUUUUGCUCUGUGAACUAUCCCCUGCGCUUUGAACGUGCCAGCAGCCCGUGUUUGCAUGCCCAGUCUUUUCACUUCCUCUCCACAGGAGCCUCUGCCGCUGCUUGCCGAAGCAGAUUUCCUAAGGCCACCGUUUUAAAAGAUGAUUGUUGCAAAAAUAUAAUAAACAUUCUUCUAAAAAUC